AUGUCUYUUCGGUUUCAUWAUAUGAAGAGUCAGUCCUGCCCGGUGAAAAAUUUUUAACGGCCGCGGUACUCUGACCGUGCGAAGGUAGCAUAAUCAUUUGUCUYAUAAUUGAAGGCUAGUAUGAAUGGUUUAACAUGGUUACUACUGUCUCUCUUCAAUUUUUUAGAAUUUAAUUUUUAGGUUAAAAAGCCUAGAUUAUAUAGAAAGACAAGAAGACCCUAUCGAGCUUUAAGUUAUUUAAUAGACCUUUGUAAAUUUAUCUUUAGCUGUGUUCUUUUAAAAAUUUUGGUUGGGGCGACUAAGGAACAUAUAAAGCUUCCUUAAGUAUAAAAUACCUUCAAGUAAUGAUCCAAUAAUUUUGAUUAAAGGAAUUAGUUACCGUAGGGAUAACAGCAUAAUCCCUUUAGAGAGUUCAUAUCGAAAAGGGGGUUUGUGACCUCGAUGUUGGACCAAAGUAUCCUGAAGGUGCAGCAGUCUUUAAGGGUUGGUCUGUUCGACCAUUAAAACUUUACGUGAUCUGAGUUCAGACCGG
rnacentral:rRNA from 1 species